rnacentral:rRNA from 1 species
CAGUAGCCACGGUAAUACGGAGGAUGCGAGCGUUAUCCGGAUUUAUUGGGCGUAAAGGGUGCGUAGGCGGUUUGGCAAGUCUUCUGUGAAAGUCAAGGGCUCAACCUUUGAAAGCCGGUGGAUACUGGAUGGCUAGAGUACGGAAGAGGCGAGUGGAAUUCCUGGUGUAGCGGUGGGAUGCGCAGAUAUCAGGAGGAACACCAAUAGCGAAGGCAGCUCGCUGGGACGUUACUGACACUAAGGCGCGAAAGCGUGGGGAGCGAACAGGAUUAGAUACCCCGGUAGUCCCUGUCUCUUAUAC